UUUCUACUCCCUCCGUCCGAAAAUACUUGUCAUCAAAAUGGAUAAAAAGAGAUGUAUCUAAAACUAAAAUACGUCUAGAUACAUUUCCUUUUAUCCAUUUUGAUGACAAGUAUUUCCUGACGGAGGGAGUAUUUG
rfam:Triticum aestivum genome assembly, contig: Triticum_aestivum_CS42_TGACv1_scaffold_441188_5DL